CCGGUACGGGUGGAGUAACACGUAUCCAACCUGCCGUCUACUCUUGGACAGCCUCUGAAAGGAAGAUUAAUACAAGAUGGCAUCAUGAGUCCACAUGUUCACAUGAUUAAAGGUAUUCCGGUAGACGAUGGGGAUGCGUUCCAUUAGAUAGUAGGCGGGGUAACGGCCCACCUAGUCUUCAAUGGAUAGGGGUUCUGAGAGGAAGGUCCCCCACAUUGGAACUGAGACACGGUCCAA
rnacentral:rRNA from 1 species